rnacentral:RNase_P_RNA from 1 species
GUGCGGCAUUGUUCUAUCGCUGGAAGUAAAAACUUCGAGAGGAAAGUCCGAGCAACAUAGAGCAUCAUACUACCUAACGGGUAGGCAAGUUGAAGAGACUUGACAGCAAGUGCCACAGAAAAUAACCGCCUUGCAAAAGGUAAGGGUGAAAACGUGAGGUAAGAGCUCACGAUUCGGCUUAGUGAUAGGUCGAAUGGGUAAACCUUAUGAGUUGAAAGACCAAGUAUAUCGGAGAAUGGGGCUGCUCGUCCUUUCCGAGGGGUAGGUCGUUAGAGACUUAUCGUGAGAUAAGUAGUAGAUUAAUGAUAGAACUCGACAGAACUCGGCUUAUAGAUGUCGCACUUUC